rnacentral:miRNA from 12 species
CCCUCUGCUCUGGAGCCAGGCUGGGAGAGCUGGGGGUGCUCACCUGGAGAGGAGAAGGCUCCAGGGAGAGCUCAGAGCCUGAAGGGGCUCCAGGAGAGCUGGAGAGGG